rnacentral:rRNA from 1 species
UACCAGCUCCUCGAGUGGUCGGGGCGAUUAUUGGGCCUAAAGCAUCCGUAGCCGGUUCAGUAGGUCCUCUGUUAAAUCCAUCAGCUUAACUGAUGACCUGCAGAGGAUACCGCUGGACUAGGAGGCGGGAGAGGCGGACGGUACUCCGCGUGUAGGGGUAAAAUCCUUUGAUCCGCGGAAGACCACCAGUGGCGAAGGCGGUCCGCCAGAACGCGCUCGACGGUGAGGGAUGAAAGCUGGGGGAGCGAACCGG